rnacentral:rRNA from 1 species
GAGUGAACGCUGGCGGUAGGCCUAACACAUGCAAGUCGAACGGCAGCACAGUAAGAGCUUGCUCUUACGGGUGGCGAGUGGCGGACGGGUGAGGAAUACAUCGGAAUCUACUUUUUCGUGGGGGAUAACGUAGGGAAACUUACGCUAAUACCGCAUACGACCUACGGGUGAAAGCAGGGGAUCUUCUGACCUUGCGCGAUUGAAUGAGCCGAUGUCGGAUUAGCUAGUUGGCGGGGUAAAGGCCCACCAAGGCGACGAUCCGUAGCUGGUCUGAGAGGAUGAUCAGCCACACUGGAACUGAGACACGGUCCAGACUCCUACGGGAGGCAGCAGUGGGGAAUAUUGGACAAUGGGCGCAAGCCUGAUCCAGCCAUACCGCGUGGGUGAAGAAGGCCUUCGGGUUGUAAAGCCCUUUUGUUGGGAAAGAAAAGCAGCAGGUUAAUACCCCGCUGUUCUGACGGUACCCAAAGAAUAAGCACCGGCUAACUUCGUG